AAGCGCAUAACUAAGUGAAGUAAGGUGAUGCGUGCUUAUAAUAUUUAGUGCGUGACUCAUGAGAUUGGUGACAACGCAUUUUAUUAUACGUAUUUUAAUGUGACUUACCAAACUAUUUUUGAUCCAAGUCGUGUUUUACUGUUUAAAGUUUCACCCCACAGCAGUGUCGUUUGACGAAGAUUAAUUUAUAAAUUGUAACCCCGAGUUUUCUGAUAUUUAACCCUUUUGAAAUGGCUAAGCCUUACGUAUCAACUUUAUUUAUUCGCUAGCACUAGGAGAAACGAAGUAGGUGGCCUAUGAACUGAAACUGAUGUUGGGGACUUGUUCGAAAUGAAUAUACAUAUUUAAUACUUUUUGUAAACAAAAAUAUUUUAAUGAAGAUAAGUCAUGUGAUAUUCUCGGGUAAAGACUGAAAACAACAACAACAAAAGACAUAACUAGAAUGGAAAGGUUAUCAUAUAAGAUCUCGGAAAUUGUUCUCUCUUGAAAAUACGAAGAUAGAUGUGGAUUUGAUUGAGGUGUUUAAGAUUAUUAACUGAACUGAUUUCGGCGCAUCACCUUUUUUCAUACUAAAUGUCAAGAUUCCCCGGGGGAAUUGCUAAAAAAGUUUCUGACUGAAGCCAAGCUGAAAAGACAACUAGUAUGUGGAGUGUACCAUGCAGCCCAGGCCCUUGAAAGAACCCCUUCGAGUAUUUUAUUAUGUAUCCUUACAGAAGACUCUCUUCAUGAUGUAGAAGCUUGUAUACACUCUAUUCUGAUCCAGGCUUUUUGUAACGCAAACAAUAUUGAUUUGGUGAAGGUUGACAGUGAGAAAAAGCUAUCAUCACUGAUAUCACAUCAUUCGUCACAACGACAUUCCAAAAGAGAUCAUCAAUGCGUUCUUGUGAAGAAUCUAAAAGAAGGUUUUGGUCAACCAGGACAGGAAUUCAUGCAGUAUUUCACCCAAACAUAUGGCAUUCUUCAUCCUCCCCCAGUGAUUGCUUUACCAGGCUGAGAAAACAACCCAUUAUCAGAAAAUUAUCUCAAGAACUAAUUACGUUUGAUUGCCAGUUUAGUCGAGAUGAUAAACUCCAGCCACUGAAUGCAUGCAGAAAUACCGUGUCAAGGAAACACCUGAAACAUUCUGAGGCACGAAGGAUGUUAUCAAUAUUAUCAUGUGAUCAUAACAAGAAAUUGUCUUAAAACAAUUUUCAUGUCCUUCGUAGCAAUAUCGUCAUCUGUCAAGAUCCUUCCAACUUGUUUCCUACGAAGCCAAUUUUGAAGUUUUGAGAAUAGAUUUCUGUAGUCAAGAAGAUCAUAAUAAGGGACUAUUUUCAAAUGGUUUUUAAAACCUUUUUUCUACCAAGAUGUAGUACUUCGUAAUCAUACUUCCAAGAAACUUGCUCUAUCAUUUUUUCUUUCAUCAUCACAUUAUUUUAACUUUGAAAAUAGUUUAUUAUGUUUAAUCAAAAAUCUGUGUAAGCAGUGUGAAACAUUGUUCCCAAGCUAUACCACAAACAGAUGAAGUUUCUUAAGCUAUCCAAAAUAUAUCUCUAUCCGUCACCAGAAACUUCUUUUAGACAGAAUAUAAUCCUAAUAUUGUUAGUUAAUCAUACAGAAAUCGGUGGAUGUUUUUGUCAUCACUUUUAAUGUCCAACAAACGAUAAAAAAUAGCUAAAAUUGCCAUUCAAUGAUAAUUUAAUGUUUAGAAUUUAAACAAAAUAAUUCUUGUGCUAAUUGGUUCAACUCUUGCAGAGAAACCUUCAUUUGAAAAUGUGUUUUCUCAUAUUUAUGUCACGGUUUUGGUGAAAGUAAAGUAAUAUACUUAUAGAAAAAUUGCUUUCAAUACUAAACCAGCUGGAAUACACUGAGAAAACGUCUAAAAGUCACUGUUUACCCCGGUCUCGGUUGUAAGUGCAAAGUUAAGGGUGAUGUUUGCAUGAAAAGCAAAUGGUGUGGGAUUCUUGUUAAAGUGAUCAGAAAGAAAAGUCGUACACAAAACACUAGAAUCUAAACGAAAGUCUCAUUGUAACCACUUUCGCUGUCUUAGAUUGUUAUGUGGUUUACAGAGACAGAUAUGAUUUGUUAGCCCUAAACCAACACAAGUCAGCAGGAACAGUUGAACAUUGAUUGUUGUAUCAACUGAGUGCACCGUGUCUGUCGUAGAUGGCAUGAACACGUUGUUAAACAUUAUUACAGUUUAAAAUGGAAUGGCCCCGUGUGUUUUGGGAAUUUUUAUCAAUAUAAAACGUUUUAAGAGUUUAAUUUCAUUUUUUGAAGCAAGAGGUUAAUUCCUAAAUUAAUUGUCAAAUUUCGUAUGAGAAAUUGGUCUGAGUGAUUGUCCCUUGUUCAAAGUUGCCAUCAAAAACAUGACAAUUUCUGUACGAUUGACUCACAACUUUAGGAUUAAAUAUUAAUUGAAAUAUUGUUCACUAAAAAAUUAAAAACUACAUGGUUGUAAUAUGUAUUAAAAUAUUGUUUAAAUUAAAAUAUCAGGAUUAAACAACUCUACCUGAAGCAGUAAUACUGUUUUUUUUUAUAACAAAGUAUCUUCCACGUGUGUUUUCUGUUAAGAUCUUUAUCUGUGCGAGUUAUAUUAUCGUUUUCUUGUUCCGUUAAGUGAGGAAAUGUUUGGUUAGUCCUCAAAUUAAUUUUUUUAAAUCUCAAAUGCAUAGGAAAUCCCAGCUGAAGCAGUGAUUUGUGGGAUUAAGUGCAAUAAUUGUGGUAUUUUGUAAAUAAGUGACCAUGAAAAAUUUAGCAAAUUUGUUUGUUUUUAAUGCAACUAUAUAGGAGACUGGGCAUUGUGAUUAAGUAGUAUUUAUGUUCACAUUUUUUUUUUUUAUGGGACUCCUAUGUUAUUAAGGACCCUGUAACCGUCAAAACCAUGGACCCACAAGUAGUUUGGUGCAUAAACAGUUUUUGAAAAACGUGUUUAAGAAACCAUUAUGAAUCCCAUUGGGAAUUCUAGGGUUAAGCUACUGUGACCUUUUAGAACACUUUUAAGUUUUAUUCAGUUCUUAUUUUAAUAACUAGAGUGUUUUAUAUGUUUCCAGUACAGAAUGGACUUUUGUAUUGGAAUAGUUUCUGAAUAUCAAUAGUAAGAAAUGUGUUUGUAUGUAUAAUUUGUUUCUCUUGUCGAAUUAUUAAAAGUAGAACCAUUACAGCAAAAAGAGCUGCAGUAGUGACAAAUUUGUGCAGUUUCAACUGCUUGAAUUUGAAAUCUAUAGCAAUUAAGCAUAUUAAUUAAACCUGUGGAGGCUGCAACCACAAAGAGACUUUAAGUUGUAACUCUUUGUUAACCGAUAACCAUUAGAAACGAUUUUUUAAUACAUUCGAAUAACAAAUUAACAUCUAAUUUCUUACAAUUAUGUACGAUAGUAAGUAUAUUGUAACUGGUACUCAGUGGUAGUGUGUGGUACUGUUACUAGUGUUAGUAUCGGUUGUUAACCAACAAACAGGAACAAAUUUAUUUAAUUAAGCACUAUCGCGGUUAUAAUAAUUUAUUGUUAAGCCUAACUUUGUCAUUACUUACCUGUAGUAAUUGCGUCUGGAUGGAGCUGCUAUGUUUUAUUAUUAUUAUUGUGAAUCUUGUAGUAAAAAGGAUUUACACCAGGUGUAAAAUUACGUUUUUAUUGAUUAUUACAAUGAAAACAAAACCGUUGAACUUUUAUUAAAAUUAAACUUGAAAUGGAUUACUUUUUUUUUAUAUACAGAACUAACAUAAGAUACAUGUAAUACCAUACCGUUUUUUGUUCUUAAAUUGCAAAGCUUUAAUGGCUGUAGUAACGGAGUGGUAAUAAAUUAUGUUUUUUUAUCAUGAA